UACUGGUUGUGCCGAGUCUAAUUUGG
rnacentral:sRNA from 1 species